AAUCGCACAGGACUUCUCUUUUUCUAUCAAUAUCGAUAGAUUUUAUCUAGGUGCAUCCUACUCUGAUAUUGAACCUGGACCUACUGUAGCCAACAUACAUAGUAAGGAUCUGAAUAGCUAGAAAUCAAAAAAAUAUGCAGUCAAACUUAGUAGCCUCAUUGUGAAUAAUCGAUGACACCGUAGGUCAAAGGACCACCUACACCAUUGC
rnacentral:lncRNA from 1 species